GAUGAACGCUAGCGGCAGGCCUAAUACAUGCAAGUCGAACGAGAUUAAGGAGCUUGCUCCUUAUGAAAGUGGCGCACGGGUGCGUAACGCGUAUGCAACCUACCUUAAUCAGGGGGAUAGCCCGAAGAAAUUCGGAUUAACACCGCAUAAAAACACAGGAUAGCAUUAUCCAAUGUUCAAAUAUUUAUAGGAUUAAGAUGGGCAUGCGUGUCAUUAGCUAGUUGGCGGGGUAACGGCCCACCAAGGCGACGAUGACUAGGGGAUCUGAGAGGAUGACCCCCCACACUGGUACUGAGGCACGGACCAGACUCCUACGGGAGGCAGCAGUAAGGAAUAUUGGUCAAUGGAGGCAACUCUGAACCAGCCAUGCCGCGUGCAGGAAGACUGCCCUAUGGGUUGUAAACUGCUUUUAUCCGGGAAUAAACCUAAUUACGUGUAAUUAGCUGAAUGUACCGGAAGAAUAAGGAUCGGCUAACUCCGUGCCAGCCGCCGCCGUAAGAC
rnacentral:rRNA from 1 species